GUAUGAGUGUGUGAAAUGAAAUUGAUUCAGUAAUUCUUUUCCGGUGUAGCAGCAGACCCGUAUGGCCAUCACCUGGGCAGGUGGACUUCACGACGCCAAGAAGUCCAAAGCAUCUGGUUUCUGUUACAAGUCAAGUUUUUGAAAUGAAACUUUUCGACAGCGUUUACAGAGUGUUGUGAAAUGUUUACAGGACAUCAGGGCUGGAAAGAGCAAAUACUACGCAGUAAAUUACCAACGAUUACCCAUCUUUAAAAAUCAUGGCCAAAGUAGUGGAGAUGUACCAGCCGAGCGCAGUGGUCCUUCAGUGUGGAUCCGAUUGAACCUCACUAUUAAAGGCCAAAUGAAGAGGUUUAACCAAGUUGUUCCACUCCUGAUGAUGGGCUCUUUGUUGAAUCCUGUGAGCACAUGUGGUUGACAGAAGUGUUAUGAAGACAACAGUCACUGGAUACUUUAUUCAACCACACAAUUAUACUCUGGAAACACAACUUCAACUCUACUGGCCUCAAACUUGCCAAUCCUGGUGGAAGCUGUGGUCACUCCCAUGGCCUCCUGCCCACCUCCCAUAACCAUUGCACAGCGGCAACUCACGUGAUUGGAGAAAUGGCGGCAGAGUUCACCUGUCUCUUGGCUUUAAAAGUCUUGAUGUGAUCCAGAGAGGCAGAGUCAACACACAGCACUCAGUCAUUUCAACAUCAUCAGUCCACCAUUUGGAUUCCAAAACAAACAAAUCAUUUCAUUUUUACUCCACUGUGUGGCUGAUGUAGAGCUUUUAACAGCAUCACAGGCAGCUUUGAACUAAGUCAACUCAGUCAAGUCACUUAGCCUUAUUGGACUGCCAUCUGUCAACAGUAAACAGUAACACAAAACCGUAACCAACGGCUCAUUUCUCCUAAGAUGUACUACAAAUAUUCUAAAAUCUAUUUAAUACACAAGUCAGUGGAUUCACAUUACAAGGUCUGUAGUGUGAACAGACUGACCAACACACCUAGACUGAAGGGAAAUGUCAUUGUAAAUAAAUGGGACAAGUGAACACACCUACUACUGUGUGGUUUUUUGGGGUCUCUUCUUAUAACCCCCAGCAAAUUGUCAAUGUUUACUUCAGUUUACACAUACUUGUAUAACAAACUAUGAAUAAAUACUGUAUCUUCAAA